UUUAUGUGUUCUCUGCACUGGAGUGGAGAUUUGGGGCUGUGCUUCAGUCCUGGGGUGGGGGGAGAGGCGGGAUGUGGUGGGCAGGGUGACUGACCGUGAGCUAGCUCAACAAGGGCUCCCCUCUACCACCAGAAGUAAAGUAGCAGAGUAAGGAUCUGCACCCCAGCAGGCUUCCAGCCUCUGGCAUGGUGCACAACCUUCAGUAGAGUAGAGAAGACCGGCAGGCUCUUUGAGAGGCUGUUCCUGGCAGUGAAGGGAUAUGAAGAGUGUGGGACAAAGGGAACUGGAGACAAGCCCCUCAGGUCACCGAGUGUGAACAGUGCGCCCUGCCUCGCCACACCUGCUGUCAAAUCACUUCACAGUAAGAUGAAGAUGCUCCUGACUCCCUACCAGUUCCUGAAAUUCCCAGCAUUGCCACGAACUUGAGAUGACCAGAUGCUCUCAUGUGAACUGAAAACAUUUCACCACCAGCAGCUUUAUAACCUUCAACAGAAAUCAGAGCUACAGUAGACACCGACAGAGGUACAGGGCUUGUGACACUUCAUUACUAUCCCAGGGGGAACUCUCUGUCAGUAUCUAAGUUUUCAUUCCUCUCUUAUUCUCCUUUUUAGGUUAACAGAGACUGUGAACUUGGUGACAGGACUUGUCAGCACUGAAAGAGAACAAUUAUAUUAAUCACCCUGACUGCCUUAUAAUAUACUAACGACUUUUUUAGGAAUCGUCACAAUAACACUUUUUAUUUUGGAAUUUUUUUGUCUUUUUUGGAAGAGCCAUGUUUACUUUAAACUUAAACUUGUUCAGAGAAGUUUAUUUCAGAGAACCCAGAAAUAAAAUGCAUCUUCAGAAGAAGCCUAACAUUCA
rnacentral:lncRNA from 1 species